rnacentral:rRNA from 1 species
AUUGAACGCAGGCGGCAUGCCUUACACAUGCAAGUCGAACGGCAGCACGGGAGCAAUCCUGGUGGCGAGUGGCGAACGGGUGAGUAAUAUAUCGGAACGUGCCCAGUCGUGGGGAUAACGUAGCGAAAGCUACGCUAAUACCGCAUACGAUCUAUGGAUGAAAGCGGGGGAUCGCAAGACCUCGCGCGAUUGGAGCGGCCGAUAUCAGAUUAGGUAGUUGGUGAGGUAAAGGCUCACCAAGCCGACGAUCUGUAGCUGGUCUGAGAGGACGACCAGCCACACUGGGACUGAGACACGGCCCAGACUCCUACGGGAGGCAGCAGUGGGGAAUUUUGGGACAAUGGGCGCAAGCCUGAUCCAGCAAUGCCGCGUGCAGGAUGACGGUCCUAUGGAUUGUAAACUGCUUUUGUACAGGAAGAAACACUACUUCGUGAAGUAGCUUGACGGUACUGUAAGAAUAAGGAUCGGCUAACUCCG